AUCCCGCUGCCGCGGCCCCGCCCCACCGCCAACGUCGGGAUCUCGCCGCCACAACCACCACAACCCCCACGCGUCACCGGGGAACCCCACACAUCCACCACCGCCGGGAUCUUGUCGUCGCGAGCCCCGCACUCCCGCACUGGCGAUGCGGCGCCGCCAGACCUAGAUCAAGCUGUCGUGCCUCGUCGAGCCGCUACACCAGCUCGACACCUGGAUCCGGCCGCUACCCCACCCCUGCACCCGGAUCCAGGUUCCCAACCGUCGAUUGCCGCCGAUGCACCGGGCCCUUCCCCCUCCAUGCUUCUUAUCCCGGUGCCUGGGAGGAAACCCCACUACUGAUCCCCUUGGCAAGCCAGUUAGCACUGCCUCCCUCUCCCUACGAUCGUCCAGCUCCACCCCAUCUGAACUUCCUCCGACAGCACUCCCCUGCAGUGUGAUUUCCCACUGUCGUGCAUCGACGAGUAGGCAAGGUGCUUCUCCUUCUCGCCUAGUUUGGAGUGUAUUUAUAUAGAAGAAGAAGAAAAUGAAACCUGCACCGGAGCAGCAGGACGGCUCCAGCCACCAAACGCCUUCCUCUGCCAUCUCUAAGUGAUUUUCUAUGUCUGAAGUUCAGCUAUACCCGCAGAUCCUUGUUGAUGAGCUCAUACAUUUCUAAAUAGUAUGCGUUCAUAUUGUGUCGCCCAGAAAGUUCAACACAGCCGUCUCGGGCCGU